UACGGGGGGGGCAAGCGUUGUUCGGAAUUACUGGGCGUAAAGGGCUCGUAGGUGGCCAACUAAGUCAGACGUGAAAUCCCUCGGCUUAACCGGGGAACUGCGUCUGAUACUGGAUGGCUAGAGAUUGGGAGAGGGAUGCGGAAUUCCAGGUGUAGCGGUGAAAUGCGUAGAUAUCUGGAGGAACACCGGUGGCGAAAGCGCUCUGCUGGACCUUAACUGACACUGAGGGACGAAAGCUAGGGGAGCGAAUGGG
rnacentral:rRNA from 1 species